CGCUGUCUGCGUUAAACCAGCCAGGAGGCAGGCUCAGGAGAAGUGGAAGCCACGGCUUGAGCCCAGGUGGCCUGGCUGCAGAAUCCAACCUGCCGCCCGCUCUGCCCACAGCCCUUCUGCGGCAGCGCCUCUUGGGCCCUCUCCAGCCGCCGCUGGUGAUCUGGAACACCUUACGGAAUGAAGAAGUCUGCAGCAAAGCACCACGGCCGCCCUGCAGGGCCUGCGGGGACACUCUUGGCCCUCCUUGCGUGGACAAGGGCCCCUGCUCUUUGAGCAGUCUACGCAGUAGCAAAGGCGGGGGUCUGAGGCAUGGGUCUCCCGGCCUCCAGCCGUGAGUGCUUAGGAAAUAGUGUCACAUCUCUGAGCCCUGCUAUGGUCAGCCGAGAAGCAGGGGCCGACUCCUGACUACAGGCCUGUCACAGGAGCUGAGCAGCCCUGAAUGUGAAAAAGCUUGCCAUGGCUGGUUUUCCUGAUGUGAGCUUGGCUGUUCUCAUUGUCCAAGGAGCUCCAGUCCUCGCUGUCACUGGGAAUGGCUGCUGUUCUCAUCUGGUCUUCACCUUGAGCAUUGCUUCCUGGCUCCGGUGCAGCUCCCUCAGCCUGGUGGCCCAGGUCCUUCCUGCCAAUGGCACAGACUUUCCAGCUUCCACCACUGGCCUUUGGGCCUUCCCAGUGCAGAUCCUCGAUACAGACUUGCAAGAGACAUUGCCGUGGGCUCCAGGCCUCUGGCUGGACUCACAGAUGACAUUGCCUGGGCUCUAGGCCUUCAGCUGGACUCAUGUGGAUCCAGGCCCUCAGCUGGAUUCUUCAGGUCUCUAGUGUACAGACAGAUCUCUUACACUCUUCUCCAUUUGACUUUUUGAGUGAAUAUUCUAACUUAAUCCUAUAAGUUAUGUGUCCUGUAUUAAAUCUAUUCCCUUGCAAACCCUGACUACAACAGAAUUUGGUACCAGAGAAGUGGGGUCAUUGCUGUGACUAUACCUGGCCACAUGGUUCCAGAGCCUUUGGGAAUGGCUUGUGGGAAGAGUUCGGAAAGGUUCAGAGAUGCUGGCUGAAAAGGUAGAGCUGGAACGCCUUAGGCUGUACUGUACGGGAGAAUCUGCUCAGAGCUCAGGAAACCAAAAGGCUGAUAGAAAUCUUGCCAGUAAAGAUCAGACUCAGGAGGUUUCUGCACUGGCUGCUGGACUCCAGACCAUGUGUGUUAUGGGUUGGCAGAAGGUUUGUCUGCAUUUUGCUCAUGUCCAGAGACUUUGCCCAAGUCUGAAAUUAAGGGUGGUGGACUAAUUAAUCUGGCAGAAGAAAUUUCAAGGCAGUCUAAUGUUGAGGUGGUGGCAUUUUAAAAGCCCCUACUGUUAGGGGCUUUUAGUCAGAUUUAUGUUGAAAAUCAAGAGCACUGAGCCCAGCAGAACGAUUUAAAACAUUUUGAAUUUGGCCAGAAAGGAAGCUCCAGUAAAGUUGCAGUUUGCAAAAAAUAGAACAGAGGAGAUCUUGAUUGCUGAGAAGAAAUAGGAGAACAGAAAAGAUGGCCUGAGGGCAUCACAAGAACCAGCAGAACUCUACCCUUUGCAGCC
rnacentral:lncRNA from 1 species